UUCCUGUAGGACCUUUAUUCCAGGUAAAUCCUGGUGGUAAUUCAUCUGCUGAAGCUUCUCUGAUCAGACAAGCCUGAUCAGAAUUGCCAGUUCUUACUGUCGGACCAUUAUUCCAGGUAAAGCCUGGUGGUAAUUCAUCCGCUGAAGCUUCUCUGCUCAGAGAAGCCUGAUCAGAAUUGUUAGUUCCUACUCUUGGACCUUUAUUCCAGGUAAAGCCUGGUGGUAAGUCAUCUGCUGAAGCUUCUCUGGCCAGAGAAGCCUGGUUGGAAUUGCCAGUUCUUAAUGUCGGAUCUUUAUUCCAGGUAAAGCCUGGUGGUAAUUCAUCCGCUGAAGUUUCUCCGCUCAGAUCUUUGUUCUGGAUAAGUAUUUCCUUUCCCCAGCCUGGUGGUAAUUCAUCCGCUGAAGCAUCUUUGCUCAGAGAAGCCUGAUCACACUGAAGCUUCUCUGGUCGGAGAAGCCUGAUCGGAAUUGCCAGUUCCUAAUGUCGGACCUUUAUUCCAGGUAAAGCCUGGUGGUAAUUCAUCCGCUGAAGCUUCUCCGCUCAGAUCUUUGUUCUGGAUAAGUAUUUCCUUUCCCCAGCCUGGUGGUAAUUCAUCCGCUGGAGCUUCUUUGCUCAGAGAAGCCUGAACAGAAUAGCCAGUUCCUACAAUAGGAUCUUUGUUCGGGGCAAGUAUUUCCUUUUCCCAGGCUGGUCGUAAUUCCUCCGCUGAAGCUUCUCUGCUCAGAGAAGCCUGAUCAGAAUUGCCAGUUCCUGCAGUAGAAUCUUUGUUCGGGGAAAGUAUUCCGUUGUCCCAGCCUGGUGGUAAUUGAUCUGCUGAAGCUUCUCUGCUCAAAGCCUGCUCAGAAUUGCCUGUUCCUACUGUAGGAUCUUUGGUCGGG
rnacentral:lncRNA from 1 species